rnacentral:rRNA from 1 species
ACGCUGGCGGUAGGCCUAACACAUGCAAGUCGAACGGCAGCACAGUAAGAGCUUGCUCUUAUGGGUGGCGAGUGGCGGACGGGUGAGGAAUACAUCGGAAUCUACCUUUUCGUGGGGGAUAACGUAGGGAAACUUACGCUAAUACCGCAUACGACCUUCGGGUGAAAGCAGGGGACCUUCGGGCCUUGCGCGGAUAGAUGAGCCGAUGUCGGAUUAGCUAGUUGGCGGGGUAAAGGCCCACCAAGGCGACGAUCCGUAGCUGGUCUGAGAGGAUGAUCAGCCACACUGGAACUGAGACACGGUCCAGACUCCUACGGGAGGCAGCAGUGGGGAAUAUUGGACAAUGGGCGCAAGCCUGAUCCAGCCAUACCGCGUGGGUGAAGAAGGCCUUCGGGUUGUAAAGCCCUUUUGUUGGGAAAGAAAAGCAGUCGAUUAAUACUCGGUUGUUCUGACGGUACCCAAAGAAUAAGCACCGGCUAACUUCGUGCCAGCAGCCGCGGUAAUACGAAGGGUGCAAGCGUUACUCGGAAUUACUGGGCGUAAAGCGUGCGUAGGUGGUUGUUUAAGUCUGUUGUGAAAGCCCUGGGCUCAACCUGGGAAUUGCAGUGGAUACUGGGCGACUAGAGUGUGGUAGAGGGUAGUGGAAUUCCCGGUGUAGCAGUGAAAUGCGUAGAGAUCGGGAGGAACAUCCAUGGCGAAGGCAGCUACCUGGACCAACACUGACACUGAGGCACGAAAGCGUGGGGAGCAAAC